AUUGAACGCUGGCGGCAGGCCUAACACAUGCAAGUCGAACGAGUGGCGGACGGGUGAGUACUGUCUGGGAAACUGCCCGUUGGAGGGGGAUAACUACUGGAAACGGUAGCUAAUCCCGCAUACCAUCGGAUGUGCCCCGAUGGGACUAGCUAGUAGGUGGGGUAACGGCCCACCUAGGCGACGAUCCCUAGCUGGUCUGAGAGGAUGACCAGCCACACUGGAACUGAGACACGGUCCAGACUCCUACGGGAGGCAGCAGUGGGGAAUAUUGGACAAUGGGCGAAAGCCUGAUGCAGCAAUGCCGCGUGUGUGAAGAAGGCCUUCGGAUUGUAAAGUACUUUCAGCGGGGAGGCGUUACUCGCAGAAGAAGCACCGGCUAACUCCGUGCCAGCAGCCGCGGUAAUAC
rnacentral:rRNA from 1 species